AGCGUCAUUUGUAUCUUAAGCUUUGCUUAGUGUUGGGUGAUUGUCUGCAUGUAGUGCAGACUCGCCUUGAAUCUAUUGGCCGCCGAUAGUCUAGUAUGCGAGCGCAGCACAUUUGCGCACCGUACCCGUCUUAUUAGCCACCAUCAAGUACAAUAUCAACGUUUGACCUCGGAUCAGGUAGGGAUACCCGCUGAACUUAA
rnacentral:misc_RNA from 1 species